GACGAACGCUGGCGGCGUGCUUCAUACAUGCAAGUCGAACGGUGAACCCUGCUUCGGUGGGGGGAUCAGUGGCGAACGGGUGAGUAACACGUGAGCAACCUGCCCUCUGCUCUGGGAUAACCCCGGGAAACCGGGGCUAAUACCGGAUAUGAGCGCUGCCCGCAUGGGUGGUGUUGGAAAGUUUUUCGGCGGGGGAUGGGCUCGCGGCCUAUCAGCUUGUUGGUGGGGUGAUGGCCUACCAAGGCGGUGACGGGUAGCCGGCCUGAGAGGGUGAUCGGCCACACUGGGACUGAGACACGGCCCAGACUCCUACGGGAGGCAGCAGUAGGGAAUAUUGCGCAAUGGGCGGAAGCCUGACGCAGCAACGCCGCGUGGGGGAUGACGGCCUUCGGGUUGUAAACCUCUUUCAGCAGGGGAGAAGCUUUCGGGUGACGGUACCUGCAGAAGAAGGACCGGCUAACUACGUGCCAGCCGCCGCCGUAAGAC
rnacentral:rRNA from 1 species